GACCUGAACUCAAACGUGAUUACCCGCUGAACUUAAGCAUCU
rnacentral:rRNA from 1 species